GGCAACCAAGUGACGUCAACAACGUCGAGGAAACGUCAGUAUUUGGUGGAAUAUAUACACGUAGUUGAACAUUACGUCAUAUCGACGUCUUUUGUAGGUGAUUUUAAAUACGUAAGAUUAAUGACGUUAAAAUACGUUUAAAAGACGUUUUCAUUUCAGCCAGCCUAAGUCUGACGUCACGAAAUUGGGAGGAGCUUGGAGCUUAAAAGUUACAAAACUAGGGUUAUGUUUGUAUCGUCGUUUGUCGUUUCAUUUCAUUGUUUGUUUGUCCUAGUAUUUUGCCUUUUUUGGAUUCAUUUGGAUUUUGUUGGCUGUUUUGUGUGUAUUUUUUAAAACUUCUGUUUGUCAUUUGUAAAUUUUAUAAAUUUACCACAAUGCAAAGUGAUUAUUUAAGGAAAUUAUUAAUGGAAACUCCGCAGAUGUUUUAGAAAGAUAUUCAUUGAAGCUGAAAAUAAUUGGAGAUUUAGAUCCAUAUACAAUUCAGUCAUCAGAAUUGGAUUUUACAGUGCAUUCCAUCAAUUACUGUUAUAAUGCUAUUAUAGAUAGACUGGUAGAGUCUCACAGUUACUGCUUUAAGCAGCAGAUGAAAGCAUACAAAAGCCUUCAGGCACAUAAAAGCCUUCACAACUGGAUUUGUUUUGAAACAUUGAUGUUUUGAUGAUUUCUAUAUUAUUGUUGGAAAGGUGAAAAUUCCCAAAAAGCUAAUGCUAAACCGCUAGAUGCUUCGGUGAAUAGCCAGUUCCAAUGGCAUAGCAAAUGCACAUUGUAUGUGUAUGGCCAGUAAUAGUGAAAUUUGCAGCCAUAUUGCAGCAAUCUUAUUUGCAGCUGAGUAUGCCCACAGCAAGACAGAAGAAGAAGAACCCAAUGCAUGUACAGAUGUUACAGCUAUGUACAUUCUCUGGUGAAAAACUAAUGAGUUUUCAAGCUGUUCGGUCAGAGUGCUUGUUGCGCUCUCUAAACGAACUGAAAUUAUAAGACGGCUUUGGCUUCAUGUUGCAGUGAUAUGAAAAUGGUUAGUCAUUUUUAAUUAUAAUGUACUUCUUCAUCAUGAGUAUUUAUGUAUAGGGCUUUUCAUUCACAGUCAUUUGUUUCGAGCUUCUGUCAUGUGUCACAUAAUAUUAAUAUUAUAUCUACGUCAUACGUUAUUGGUAUAUAUCAAUGAUACACACCAAAGACAUAUGGCAUAGAUAUAUUAAUAUUAUGUGACACAUGACAGAUGCUCGAAACAAAUGACAGUCUAUAAAAAGCCCUAUUAGUCUUUUAAGUGUGUAUUAUCAGAUAUCACAUAUAAAUUGUUUUUAUCAUGUUAAUUUGGUCAUUACAGUCCCUUAAUCAAAAAAUAUAUUUUUCAGGUGUCUGUGGAUCUUUUUGUAUGCAAAAAUUUGUAAUAAUUAUUUGAAAUCAUUUUGAGGAUUAUUAGAGUAUGGAAAUAUAUGCUAGAACACAUACUAUUAUAGUUUUGUCCUAUUUUUUAUCAUUCAAUAGUCAUCUUAAAAUUUAUAAAUAUAAAGCAGAUAGUUUUCAUUGAAAUUCAAUAUAUUGGGUCUUAUUUGUAUGUAUUCAUUUUUGACUAAAGGUAUGAUUCCGAUAACGACUGCAGACAGCAACUGCAAACAUCAGUUGCAGUUCUCGGCGUUAUGGACGUUACUACUUUGCACUAUUUAUCUGUAUGAGACUUAUUCCGACAUCUGACUGCAACUGCUGUCUGGCAGAACGUCAGUUGCUAAUAAUUAUGCAAAUUAUUAGUGCAAAAUAAUGACGUCUGUCAUGGUGACAACUGUAACUGCCAUCUGCAGUCGUUGUCGGAAUCGUACCUUUAAAGUGUGUGGUAUAAUUAUAAUAAUUAUAUAUAUUAUAUAACUUAAAUGGUUUAAACUUAAGUUUGUUAUUACAUUGUGACUUAAAUGUUUAAUUUGUUAAUAAAUGAUUUAUUAGUUUA